rnacentral:rRNA from 1 species
AUUGAACGCUGGCGGCAGGCCAAACACAUGCAAGUCGAGCGGUAGCACAGAGAGCUUGCUCUCGGGUGACGAGCGGCGGACGGGUGAGUAAUGUCUGGGAAACUGCCUGAUGGAGGGGGAUAACUACUGGAAACGGUAGCUAAUACCGCAUAACGUCGCAAGACCAAAGUGGGGGACCUUCGGGCCUCAUGCCAUCAGAUGUGCCCAGAUGGGAUUUGCUGGUAGGUGGGGUAACGGCUCACCUAGGCGACGAUCCCUAGCUGGUCUGAGAGGAUGACCAGCCACACUGGAUCUGUGACACGGUCCAGACUCCUACGGGAGGCAGCAGUGGGGAAUAUUGCACAAUGGGCUCAAGCCUGAUGCAGCCAUGCCGCGUGUGUGAAGAAGGCCUUCGGGUUGUAAAGCACUUUCAGCGGGGAGGAAGGCGGUGAGGUUAAUAACCUCACUGAUUGACGUUACCCGCAGAAGAAGCACCGGCUAACUCCGUGCCAGCAGCCGCGGUAACAC